UUUUUUUUAUCGAUUAAAUAGUUUCGAACAGCGGUAUACUACUGUUACCUUUAUUCAUACUUCAACAAUAUGAAGGGAAAAAAAACAUAAAUGACAAUAACAAAUCCGAUCGAAAAAAUACAUUUAUCAUACUAUAAUUAUUGAAAAUAAAAUGAACUGUAGCAUUGUUUUACUGUAUCAAGUCAGAAAUACAAAUGUAGGACAGUAGUUUUCUAUUUGUUUGAAGUGUUUGAGAAUUUGAUUUUGAUUGUAGAUUUUUAGUUCUGAGAUCGGUAAUUUUGUUAUUUCACUUUUCAAUUAAGUAAUUUUUAUAUAUGAUUAUAUUAAUAGUAACAAUCAGAAAUACGUUUUUUUUAAUAUGAUUUGUUUGAUAGAUGAGUAUAUGUUAUCUAACAAUUGUUUCAAGUAAUAAGUAUAUCAACUUGUGUGUUUAUUAUAUACAAAUGUAUCAAGGGUGGAUACUUUUUAGUGUUUUCUUAAAAUAUUGUGAUACCACAUGCCUGAAACUUCAAAACAUGUAUUUGCUUUAUACUAUUUCACAUUUCAAAUGUCAA
rnacentral:lncRNA from 1 species